UACGUAGGGGGCAAGCGUUGUCCGGAAUUAUUGGGCGUAAAGCGCGUGUAGGCGGCUCGGUAAGUCUGCUGUGAAAGUCCAGGCUCAACCCUGGAACGCCGGUGGAUACUGUCGAGCUCGAGUCCGGAAGAGGCGAAGUGGAAUUCCUGGUGUAGCGGUGAAAUGCGCAGGAUAAUCAGGAGGAACACCGAUGGCGAAGGCAG
rnacentral:rRNA from 1 species